UUUGAGCAAGUUUUCUGUUAAAAGAGAAAUCAAUUCUAGAUUCGCUCUUUAUUGUUGAAAAUGGAAAAAUAAAGAAUUACUUAAUUAUUAAACUUUUCUCUUCUAGACAAUUGCAUUUUAUAGACUUAUGUUUUUAUUGCGAAAGCUAAUUAUAGAUCACGCCCUGUUGCGUAUCCUACAGUGCAUGAAUGUAAACAAACGUCAACAAAAGAUUAAUAAAAAUUACAUCAAUAAUCAACUUACUAGAUAAUCAACAAAAUAAGAAUAGUUUAUAAUAAUAAUACGUCCUUGGAUUAACGUUUGAAAAUAGUAUUGUCUAAUUGACUUAGUAUCUACCGAUAUUUUUUGUUUUGGUAAAAAGUUAACUUUUUAAACUUGAAAUGAAAGUUGUUAAAAAAAGACAUUUUUUACUUACUCCUCAGAAAUGUACUAGUGAAGACGAAACUAAAAAAGAAUACAAUGAGAUUAAGCAAAAACUGGCAAUCUUUAACAAACAAAGUGAAUCCCACGGACGAUAUCUUAUAUGUGUGGGCCCCGUAAACGUCCGAAUGUGUAGCUAUUCCUUUAGUUCGUGCAACAAAGCCAGAAAGCAAGGUGAUGCAAAAUCAACAGAGCUGUUUUUUGUUGAUAAACUUGAAAAAAGACAAACUAGGUCUGCAUUUUGUUACAGCUGUUUAAUGGAUUUUUUCAACAAACUUUGACCUUUUUACCUAAUCGGUUUUUGGACGCUUUUUGUUUUUUUAUUCCAUUUUUUAGUGUUGGUCGUAUUCAUUAAUUUGUAUCCAACAUGUUAAUUUUAAUAUUUUAAAAUGGUAUUAUAGUAAUAUAUUGAAGAAUGUACUCUAAAUGUUAAUCUAAGCCUACCUGCGUCAAAAAAUUUAUAUUUUUGUUAAUUUUUUUUUUAAUAACAUUGUUGAUAUCAGUU
rnacentral:misc_RNA from 1 species